CUUAGCCUACCUUGGGGGCCAUUUUGUAUAAUGAAAAGAAUAUUUCAUGCUUUUAACUCAUCUUUAGGUCCAAGGAAGAAAAAGGAAAGAAAGGAAAAGUGUCAUCACCCCCCUCUGUCAACUCAUGAAACUCUUAUGAAGAAGAUGCUAUCCUGCAUGUCUGACAUGAGUCUGCAUAGCCAUUGUACUACAACCACUGCUGUGCCACUACUAGAAGUUGCAGAGCACUUUAACCAGCAGACAGGUGGUCUUGGAGCAGUGGCUAAAACAGAUAAGCCUUCGUUAUCCAUUACUGUGGGAGAGCCACCACUGUCUGCUGGUGUGGGAGUGCCAACGUCAUCCAUUGCUGUGGCAGAGGCAACGUCAUCCACUGCUGUGGGAGAGUCAUCGUCAUCAACUGCUGUGGGAGAGUCAUCGUCAUCAACUGCUGUGGGAGAGUCAUCGUCAUCAACUGCUGUGGGAGAGCCAUCGUCAUCAACUGCUGUGGGAAAGCCAUCGUCAUCAACUACUGUGGGGGGGUCAUCGUCAUCCACUGCUGUUGUAGAGUCAUUGUCAUCCACUGCUGUUGUAGAGUCAUUGUCAUCCACUGGUACUAGCUCUGGAAACAUGAAUGGGUAUUAAAAGGCUUUUAACCAUGGAAGUGUCAUAAUUUGGAAGCGAAAUUUGAUGAGAACAUUGAUUUAGUGAUUUGAGAUUACUUAUUGUUCAAAAACCCUGUGGGUCUACUCUGAAAAAAAAAAUACUGAAUACCUGUAUACGAAAUAGGAUUUUGAAUAUUGUAGUUUGUCUGCAAUCACCAUGCUCUUGAUUACUGCCUAACUCACUUUUAUUAUUAACGAUAACUGUCUCUCUCAAGAAACUUUGCUGUUCCCUAUAUUAUCCGUGACAUUGCUUAGGUUAUCGGCUGUAACAUCCUAUCCAACUCUCCUGGCUGAUUUUCUGUAACCGGAGUGUUCAUAUACUUUACCAGUGGGUCCUUGUCUUCCUGUUUUUAAGAAUGAGUCCAACUGGUUAAUGUAUCAACUGUAUCAAGUUGGUUCCAUGUACCAUCAUCAAUCAGUGAGAGAUGGGGGAUGGGGACAUUUUAUCAUCACCCUUUCUGUUCAACGCACACAUUUAGGCCUAAUUCUUACUUCAAGCGGAAUUAACCUGAAAAACAGACUGAAAUGCUGAAAUCAACACAUUUGAUUGGUUUUUGUAUGUACGCCUACACCACUUCAAUCCAGACACAUUUUCUUACUCUCUACAAGUUUCAACUGUUCCAGUCCAGGUUUCAGAAACUUAAUUGUACAGGCUGAGUCAUUUGUGUCUGGAGAGGGUGGUGGCUCAACUUAACCCAAUUUUUAUGAUGGUGUGUGAUAUCUUAAACAUAUACAAAUAGAUAAUACCUUCAUAUUGCUUUGACAGGAAAAAAUGUAAACCUAUUUCCAUCUGUUUUUCUGAAGAGGACUCUUGGGGCGUCCCAGCUUGGUUCCACAGUCAAAUCAUCACCGAUCUCAGGAAGUGACAGGAGCCGGGAAAAAUCAAUAUUUGCCGAUCUGGAGUUUUUGCAAUCAUUAGGAACAGGUUCACAUGCAAAUGUUGUUUAUAUUAUUAAUAAUCGUAUUUGACAAAAAGCUAGCACUCUUUGUUUAUUGGUCUCACUUUUUGAGAAGGAAAUUUAAAGGAAAAUUAAAUUAUGAUAAACUGGCAUAAAGGGAACCAUAGCACAUCAUAAAUCUGGGACAAUUAUCAUCUUCUAGUCAAAAAGAAACUUAAUUGAAUAUGGAUCCUACUCCAUAUACGUAGAGAAAUUAGGCCUGCUUAUUUCCCCCUUUUACUCCAAUUUAUACUUUUGAACAAUAGCCCAAGAAACAUGAUAUUUAACAUCAACUACGACGCUGUAUGAUACAGAUAAAAUAGCAAAGUGCUCACAAACCUAAAGUUCUCACCUUUUUCGACAGUGUGGCAUUAAGCAUCCCCUGGAGCAGCCAAAUAGGCAUAGACAAAUAGAUGCUUAUUUUGCAUGCCCUGCAUUAAUGUUUUGGCAUGUGCCUCGGGGCACGCUGGACAUCUGGGAAGCAUUGUCUUGGUCACCAAAGUGUGGUUUGCGGAGGUCAAUAUGUGACCUUUCUAAAGAAAAUAAGUGCCUGUUGUCUGUUUUGAAUAGGCUGUGCAGUAGUCAUAAUAAAUUUGCAUUGAACUUGUAGUUUCUUUUCAAUUCC
rnacentral:lncRNA from 1 species